CCCCUCUGGUGACCCUGAGAGUAUAAAUUGGGGCUGGGCUCUGCCCCUGCAUCACAUCCAAGGCCAACAUGAAGACCGGCACCAUCUUUGUUCUGGUGGCUUUCAUCGUCAUGGGGCUGCAGGUGGCCUGUGCUAGGAGACCUCCUCCGAGAGGAGGACAGAGACCUGGCUUCUGCCCAAAGUUGCCCAAAGAUACUGUGGGGGCUUGUGUUGAAAUGUGCUCAGGAGAUGCAUCGUGUCCCAAGGGAAUGAAAUGCUGUAGCAAUGCAUGUGGUCAUAGCUGCAUGACUCCUGUCUUCAGAGGUGGCCCUGGUGGCCGUGUGAAAGCUGGACCUGUUGUUGAUUGAGCUUGCCUGGAGACCAACCUCGAAUAUUGCUCAUGAACCCAUGAUUUCGAGGUUGGGCAUAACAACAAGACCUGCACAUCCACUCCUGCCUCCUUCCUGUCCCUGAAAUUAGAGCCCUAGAAGAUGAAGCUCUAAAACGGUGAAUGACUGCUUUCUGGGACCUUGUGUCCAAAAUAAACCCUAUCUGUGGCA